rfam:Triticum aestivum genome assembly, contig: Triticum_aestivum_CS42_TGACv1_scaffold_404674_5BL
UUGUUACUCCCUCUGUCCCAAAAUUCUUGUCUUAGAUUUUUCCAAAUACGAAUGUAUCAAGUCACGUUUUAGUAUUAGGUACAUUUGUAUCUUGACAAAUCUAAGGCAAGAAUUUCGAGACGGAGGGAGUAUUAU